rnacentral:rRNA from 1 species
GAUGAACGCUGGCGGCGUGCCUAAUACAUGCAAGUCGAGCGAACGGACGAGAAGCUUGCUUCUCUGAUGUUAGCGGCGGACGGGUGAGUAACACGUGGAUAACCUAUCUAUAAGACUCGGAUAACUUCGGGAAACCGGAGCUAAUACCGGAUAAUAUUUUGAACCGUAUGGUUCAAAAGUGAAAGACGGUCUUGCUGUAACUUAUAGAUGGAUCCGCGCUGCAUUAGCUAGUUGGUAAGGUAACGGCUUACCAAGGCAACGAUGCAUAGCCGACCUGAGAGGGUGAUCGGCCACACUGGAACUGAGACACGGACCAGACUCCUACGGGAGGCCGCCGUCGGGCCUCUUCCGCCCUGGGCGCCCGCCUGCCGGCGCCCCGCCGCGUGCGUGCUGCCGGUCUUCGGUUCAUAAAACUCUGUUAUUAGGGAAGCACCUAUGUGUCCGUCCCUGUCCUCAUCUUGCCGGUGCCUGCUCCGAAAGCCGCGGCUGCCUCCGUG